rnacentral:rRNA from 1 species
AUACGGAGGAUGCGAGCGUUAUCCGGAUUCAUUGGGUUUAAAGGGUGCGUAGGCUGUUUUUCAAGUCAGAGGUGAAAGCCCGGGGCUUAACUCCGGAACUGCCUUUGAUACUGGGAGGCUUGAAUGCUGUUGCCGUGGGAGGAAUGAGUAGUGUAGCGGUGAAAUGCAUAGAUAUUACUCAGAACACCGAUUGCGAAGGCAGCUCACCGGGCCGGAACUGACACUGAUGCUCGAAAGUGCGGGUAUCAAACAGGAUUAGAUACCCUGGUAGUCCGCACAGUAAACGAUGAAUACUCGCUGUUUGCGAUACACGGUAAGCGGCCAAGCGAAAGCGUUAAGUAUUCCACCUGGGGAGCACGCCGGCAACGGUGAGACUCAAAGGAAUUGACGGGG